GCUAGCGUGGCGCAUGAGCUCGGUAAAUGCAA
rnacentral:tRNA from 1 species